GUGCUCGCUUCUGCAGCACAUAUGCUAAAAUUGGAACGAUACAGAGAAGAUUAACGUGAGUCCUGCGAAAGGAUGCCACAUAAUUCAAUUCAUAUUUAAAAAAAUGCA